GUCACCUGGGAGGUUUGGAGGAAUCUCUGGAGACAGAGCAGAGAAAUCUUCCUCUGGAAGCUGGUGCCUAUCUCCAUCACUUGGGAUCGCCAGCAGACUCCACUGAAAGCCAUGGGUUCUUCUUCUUAAAACACAUUGAAAGAGGUACAAGCAGACAAACGAGAGCUGAUCACGCUCACAUUGCCCAGGAAAUGCAUCUCUGGUGGAAAGUUUAUUUCUCCCUGUGACAUCACCGCUCUUCAGAAAACGUGUCAAAGACAAUUCGACAGCGUGGCUGUGUUGCACAAGAAGUUUCAGAUGAGAACUGUUGCGUGUAAAAUCGCAGCCCCCACUGCUGCUCAGAGCAUGGAUGUGGACUGAGAAGCCAAAAUUUUGUCUCUCAAAGCCACCUGGCUGCAGUUGAUAGUCAAAUCUGUUGUUAACCCCUUUUGUGUAA
rnacentral:lncRNA from 1 species